GUCCGUGUAGCGCAAUGGGUUGCGCGUUGGACUUCUAAUCCAAAGGUCGUGGAUUCGAAUCCCACCUGGGAUG
rnacentral:tRNA from 1 species